GUGACAGCAGCCGCGGUAAUACGUAGGGUGCAAGCGUUAAUCGGAAUUACUGGGCGUAAAGCGUGCGCAGGCGGUUUUGUAAGUCAGAUGUGAAAUCCCCGGGCUUAACCUGGGAACUGCGUUUGAAACUACAAGGCUAGAGUGUGGCAGAGGGGGGUGGAAUUCCACGUGUAGCAGUGAAAUGCGUAGAGAUGUGGAGGAACACCNAUGGCGAAGGNAGCCCCCUGGGUUAACACUGACGCUCAGGCACGAAAGCGUGGGGAGCAAACA
rnacentral:rRNA from 1 species